rnacentral:rRNA from 1 species
AAGGAAUAUUGGUCAAUGGACGCAAGUCUGAACCAGCCAUGCCGCGUGAAGGAUGAAGGUCCUCUGGAUUGUAAACUUCUUUUAUCUGGGACGAAAACGGGAUUUUUAUCUCAAUUGACGGUACCAGAGGAAUAAGCACCGGCUAACUCCGUGCCAGCAGCCGCGGUAAUACGGAGGGUGCGAGCGUUAUCCGGAUUUACUGGGUUUAAAGGGUGCGUAGGUGGGCUUAUAAGUCAGAGGUGAAAUCUCCGAGCUUAACUUGGAAACUGCCGUUGAUACUAUAGGUCUUGAAUUAUCUGGAGGUAAGCGGAAUAUGUCAUGUAGCGGUGAAAUGCUUAGAUAUGACAUAGAACACCAAUUGCGAAGGCAGCUUACUACAUAUAAAUUGACGCUGAGGCACGAAAGCGUGGGGAUCAAACA